rnacentral:rRNA from 1 species
UACGUAGGCAGCAAGCGUUGUUCGGAUUUACUGGGCGUAAAGAGUGUGUAGGUGGUCCUCUAAGUGUGGUGUGAAAUCUCCCGGCUCAACUGGGAGGGUGCGCCGAAAACUGGGGGGCUUGAGUGUGGGAGAGGAAAGCGGAAUUCCUGGUGUAGCGGUGAAAUGCGUAGAUAUCAGGAGGAACACCUGCGGUGUAGACGGCUUUCUGGGACGGUACUGACGCUGAGGAGCGAAAGCGUGGGGAGCGAACAGG